CGGGGGAGAACAGAAAACAGCCUUUAGCCCGUUGUAUGAAAGCAUGAGGCAGCGUGAAGAGAUGGGCUACCAAAUCAACAACAAGUUGUUUGGGAUGAUGCUGAGGACCUUGGCCGCAAGGACUUUUCCAGUGGGAAGAGAGCAGGCAAAGUGAGAAGAGAGCAGUUAAACAGAUGAAGACUUGAUGUGAUCUCACUGUACAGAACCGAGGA
rnacentral:lncRNA from 1 species